rnacentral:lncRNA from 1 species
CAACUCGAGAAAAUGAAGCUUUUCUCUCUCUUCUCUCUCUCAAAACUUUCAGAGAGGGAAAGCUUUUGGUCUCUGCAUGCCGACCGGAAUUUUUCCGGUAAUAGCCGUCCCGAGUGACUCGGGCUUUUGCCCGGUAUCUUCCAGCUCCUUUAAUGGAGAUGACCGGUUCCUGUUCGGCAAAUCCUGCUCCCAUGAGAGGUUUUGGCCGCUUGUAUCCUUGCUCGUAGUCGAUCAGUUUUAUACUGAUUGCUUUGUUUUUUUAGUUUUCAAUAAAUUUCAAUAGAUUUGAGAUGGUAAUUAGUUUUAGGUGCUGGUUGCUUAAAAUUAAUUUCUGUCCUGUGUCUUUAGAAACUUCGAUUUGCAGAAAAUCUUUUAAGAGAUUAUGUCUUGGGGUUGAAAGAUUGAAGAAUAUUCCGAUGCUUAUUAUGAUUCCCUUAUGCCGUGUCUUUUAAUUGGAGCACCGUUCAGAUUUAUUUCGGUGGUAACAAGGAUACUUCGUGCCAUGUUUUGGCGAUGUUUUCCUCACCGGAUUUGGUAUUCUUCGGCGGCGAAGGUUGAUGUCGGUACACUUCCGAUGACUCUUCAUCAUGUGUUGCAGUUGUAAUCUCAUGUCGACACCUGUAUUGGAUAGAGUCCAAUGUCAAACAUCUUUAUGCCGUAGAUGUUAAUCUAGUAGGCUAUGUUGGGCCUCACUUUUAUUUCUGCACAAGUCGUUGUAGGCUUUAAGGCCUUGUUUCCCCUUUGGUGGGUUAAUAAAGUGAAAUACUUAUGAGAAAAAAAAAAAAAAAAAAGCUCAAGCAUUUCCCAAGACCUAUAACUAGUUUUAAAUUAAUGUUUUACUACAUUUAGUAUAUUCACAAAUAUUAAAUCAUUAUUCCAAAUAUAGUGCUAAACUCCUCAAAUUAAAGAUCCGACAUAACUGAUGCACUUGAUUUCAG